CCCUAUUAUAUUUAAUGAUUUAAAAUUUUUAGUAGUAAAUAUUAUGAAGGAAACUUAAAGAAUUUGGCGGUUUAUAUUCUAAUUAGAGGAAUAUGUUUUUUAAUUGAUAAUCCCCAUUAAUCUUACUUAAUUUUAUUUAUUUUGUAUACCUCCGUCUAAAAAAUUUUUUAAAAUAUUUUUUAUAUUUUAUGUAUUAGUAUAAGUCAGGUCAAGGUGCAGAGUAUAAUUAAGUUAAAAUGUAUUACAAUAAAUUUAUUUUUAGAUUAUAUUUUAAAUGUAUUAUGAAAUUGGAUUUAUAAGUAAAUUUUUUUUAAUUAUAAUUGAUUGAAUAAUGUUAAUAUAUAUGUACACAUC
rnacentral:rRNA from 1 species